GUUAUGGACAUUAUUGCCUUUUAUCUUUCCACAAUUAGGCCAGUUUUAGAAUACUGCGCGCUUGUUUUCCACAAUGCCCUCCCGGCAUAUCUCAGUGACGAGGUCCAGAGAGUGCAGAAAAGAGUAAUGUCCAUUGUGUCACCACAAGCUAACUACCAGGACUGCCUUGCCAGCUAUGGCUUACAGUCUUUGAAAGACAGACGGGGUGUACUCUGUCUUAAUCUGUUCUCGUCUAUUUCCACCUGCUCUAACCAUAAGCUAGCGAACAUCAUACCACCUAAGAACCAGUGUAUAGUCUUAGACAAUCCAGAACAUUCUCAAUUCCGCGCUGCCGAACCGAACGUUUUAGGCGAUCUUUCAUCCCGGCCAUGGCAUCCAGUCGCACCACUAAAUUUAACGUAUAAUUCUAACUGAACAUAUCAUAUCCGCUCAUUUUAUAGUAUAUAGCUUUCCUCUUAUCAUGAUCGCAUUUUAGUCUAUUACCUGUAAUACAUAUAUAUAGUUAUAUUUUUAUUCCUUUUUUUUUCUUUUUUACUCGAUGUAAAUUGCGCAAUUCAGCGUUUUUUAGCUGCCAUGCAACCUUUUUGAAAUAAACUAUCUAUCUAUCUCCCCUUCAGGUAAAAAUGGUCUCUAAGGAUGAAGAGAGACCCCCUGGAAUCGGCGCGAGAGGGGGGCGGGUUAAAAAACGGUGUCAUUGUUAUCGAAUAUGUUACAAAUAUUUGACGCCUGAUUUCAUUUAUAUAUAUAGAUAAGGAGAAAAUUUAAGGCAAUAAGAGGAAAACACCACAUUCUUCUUCGUUUUAAACUUAUGUCAAAAAUUAAAACAUGUGGGACAAUGUGGGAUUUUGAAAAAACUGAGAACAAAGUGGAUAGGACACCACGCGAAUAGGUGCUGAAACGAGCGUUAGCUAAAUGAUCUAACUAAUAAACCAUGAGCACACAUCAUAAUACUCAAGAGUAUAUUAUCAUAAGCCUGUACAAACCCCCCUUUGCUUAUGUUUGCGUCCCGUCUAAAUCCAAAGACAACAUAGUGUCUCUAUCGUUCAAUAACUAUAUAAGCAAGUGUUUAUCACUCCCGGCUGUAGUGUUAUUAACACACCCUUGGCCUAUCCGCAGUGUUAGCCGUCCUUUUGACUCCAUUAGCUUUUGUGAGUGCGAAAUAUAUGUAUUUAUCCUUAGUAAUAAAGAGUAGGUAAAAGAGGUACUUUGGCGCUAAUCUCUAAUUGUGUGCAUUGAGCUGUUAAUAAGCCGUAACUGGACUAAUUAACAUUUAAAAAGACUUCGCCUCGCCAGGAAAUGAUCAAAAGAACAUUUCUAAUACAUGUUUAUGGAUGCUAACAACCUCUAAGGUGUGCCAAUAACUGGUGCUUACAUCUCUUGAUGCGGAACCUUUAAAAAAUACAAGCUAAAGGUCCAGAAUAUUCCCACUGUCGCUGAAUCCGCAUCUUUCUCUGAUAUUAUCGGGCAAAUUUACCACCGUACAGCUCGGGUUGAACAAUAACGACUCCUCGUCCCCGUAAAGUACCGUGAUGAACAUUUUACCAAGUCAGUGAGUUAUUGCCUUUGGUGCACACAAGCUCUAUCCGACAGGUAAACUGGCAUCUAGCUACACAAAUACCAAUUAUCAAGUCGAGGAAGCCUGUAAUUGGUUAGUUUAAAUAAUUCAUAAAUGAAUUGACUAGUCUGUAUUCAUUGUAACCUUACUGUAAUUCAACUCUAAGAAGACGAUUUCUCGUGCAAACCUCCAGGAGCGCGCUCGGAAGCUAAUCAAGUGGCGUAUGGAGUCUUGCGCGCUGUCGUAAUGACACAGAUACUGUAUGCAAAUCAAGGCAGGUGUCUUGUGACUAAAUGAGACUCCCAGAUGAAGUCUAGCCAUCUUCCCAAAGAUAAUAACAGGGCUGGAAAUUACGUUUUUCAGUCGUCUACAUACUGCAUCUAUAUCUCGUCGAAUAAAUGUGUCAGUUUAGACUAAACUAUUUCCAUUUACACUUUUUUAUUCGUUAAUCUGCGGUUCAUAGUAUUUUCAAUUUUAUCCCUAUAUCAAGUAUAGAUAUGAGCGCCACCUGCCCAGCUACAACUUGUUAAGAUUAUUGAUAUUUGGUUAUUGUAAAGUACAGUAUAUAGGGAUGUGAAUGUUAUGAAGGUGGAAUUUAGUUUAUAUCUACGGCACGAUGUAGUGAAAUUGAAGAUGAGUUGUUGGCAUUGCAAAACAUUGUUUUUUUUUAUGUUGUCAUUUUGUUACAAUGGAGGAAAAGAUGCCUUUAAAGCAUAAUAUUUUAGAAUUGCUCUCACUGAGCUAUCUUCAUAUUGGAAUAAAAAUAAACUUAUUUGCA